CCUACGGGAGGCAGCAGUGAGGAAUAUUGAGCAAUGGGCGCAAGCCUGACUCAGCAACGCCGCGUGGGCGAUGAAGGCCUUCGGGUUGUAAAGCCCUUUUCUGGGGGACGAGGAAGGACGGUACCCCAGGAAUAAGUCACGGCUAACUACGUGCCAGCAGCCGCGGUAACACGUAGGUGGCGAGCGUUAUCCGGAUUCACUGGGCGUAAAGCGCGUGCAGGCGGUUCCGUAAGUCGGACGUGAAAGCUCCUGGCUUAACUGGGAGAGGCCGUUCGAUACUGCGGGACUUGAGGUCGGGAGAGGGACGUGGAAUUCCCGGUGUAGUGGUGGAAUGCGUAGAGAUCGGGAGGAACACCAGUGGCGAAGGCGGCGUCCUGGCCCGCACCUGACGCUAAGACGCGAAAGCGUGGGGAGCAAACAGGCUUAGAUACCCCUGUAGU
rnacentral:rRNA from 1 species